rnacentral:snRNA from 1 species
GUGCUUGCUUUGACAACACAUAUACUAAAACUGGAAUGUUACAGAGAAGAUAAGCAUGGAUAGCAUGCAAAUUCGUGAAGAUAUUUAAAUAAAA